rnacentral:rRNA from 1 species
AUUGAACGCUGGCGGUAUGCUUAACACAUGCAAGUCGAACGGCAGCACGAAAGAGUUUACUCUUUUGGUGGCGAGUGGCGGACGGGUGAGUAAUACAUAGGAAUCUGCCUUAUAGUUUGGGAUAACUACUCGAAAGAGUGGCUAAUACCGGAUGUGGACUACGGUUUAAAGCAGGGGAUCUUCGGACCUUGCGCUAUAAGAUGAGCCUAUGCAAGAUUAGCUAGUUGGUGAGGUAAAGGCUCACCAAGGCGACGAUCUUUAGCUGGUCUGAGAGGAUGAUCAGCCACACUGGGACUGAGACACGGCCCAGACUCCUACGGGAGGCAGCAGUGGGGAAUAUUGGGCAAUGGGCGCAAGCCUGAUCCAGCCAUGCCGCGUGUGUGAAGAAGGUUCUUCGGAUUGUAAAGCACUUUAAGUCGUGAAGAAGAGUUGUAGUAACGAUACAACUUUGACAUUAGCGACAGAAUAAGCACCGGCUAACUUCGU